UUCGCUCGCAGCCUCGCGUGGCGGCGCGUCACCAUGGUUGACUGACGUGGGUGCUGACCGAUGUGUGGGUUCGGAUUGCAAUCGCCACUGCGCUGGGUUUCCACCGAUGCGACGGACAGCACCUCCCCGGUCUUUUCAGUUACACGAACGCGAAUUGCGCAACGGGAUUGGGCGUGGUGGCAAACUCCUGAAGGAUGAUUGAUUGAGAGGUUAAUCAACCAUUAAUGCCAAUAGAUGCUUCGGGUAGGUUGGACAUGUUGACAAAUUUCAGCCUGCUCUGCUUGGUUAGAAGUUGAUGCGCAGCUUCUCUCCAAGUAGGAAUUUGAGCUAUGUACUGCUUGGUUUCUUUCGUUCUUCCAGCUGAAUCUGCCGGCAUCCAAUGGCUAAUGGACAUAUCAGUUUUCUCUUUUCAUUGUAGUACAAACCUUUCAUUCGUAUGAUAUGAUUUCACUCCCUAUGAUUGUUUGAAAUAAUCAAAAGUAUGCCUACUGUUCCUGCCCUAUGUAACAGGUUAUUUAUCAAGUGAA